rnacentral:rRNA from 1 species
GACGAACGCUGGCGGCGUGCUUAACACAUGCAAGUCGAACGGAAAGGCCUCUUUCGGGGGGUACUCGAGUGGCGAACGGGUGAGUAACACGUGAGUAACCUGCCCUUGACUUUGGGAUAACUUCAGGAAACUGGGGCUAAUACCGGAUAGGAGCUCCUGCUGCAUGGUGGGGGUUGGAAAGUUUCGGCGGUUGGGGUUGGACUCGCGGCUUAUCAGCUUGUUGGUGGGGGAGUGGCUUACCAAGGCUUUGACGGGUAGCCGGCCUGAGAGGGUGACCGGCCACAGUGGGACUGAGAUACGGCCCAGACUCCUACGGGAGGCAGCAGUGGGGAAUAUUGCACAAUGGGUGGAAGCCUGAUGCAGCAACGCCGUGUGCGGGAUGACGGCCUUCGGGUUGUAAACCGCUUUCGCUCAUGACGAAGCUUUGUGUGACGGUAGUGGGUAAAGAAGCACCGGCUAACUACGUG